UAUUAGGAGGGGUUUUGAGCUAUUAGAUUCUGCCACCCCUUUCCCGAUAUUGUAUUAGAUCGGGAUGAGGAACUAAGACUAUGGGCCACAUCUCAGGAUCCCCCUACUAGUAGUACCGGCAGAUAUCGAGUGUUGGGUCUGUCGAGGAUACCCGCAUAUACAAUUCCUGAAGGUAAUAUUUUUUAUGUUUCACGAAAUUAUCCAAAUUUAUCACAUUAUAUAAAUUAUUAUUAGUAAUCGAAUUUGUAUCUUUUUAUAGGCUCCAGCCAGCGCCAGCGUCCGAGAGCACAUGUCAGACCAUCUCAUAUGGGCGAUGGCUUAGAUGACGAGAUCUUCUAGCGGCUGAUAGGGGCCAUAUCGGAUAGGUUCAAUAAUAGACGAUAAUAUGAUGUAAGGAAUAGCAGGAUAUACAUUCCUAAGUACAUCAUCAUCUAAUACAUCUCUGUACAGCAAAAAAUACAGGGAAAUGGGGAACAGACGCCCAACAGCUAACAGAGGCCUAUCAAAAGAUAUAGCGAGAAUAGGGCACAGCCGCCCAGUAUCUAACAGAG
rnacentral:lncRNA from 1 species